rnacentral:rRNA from 1 species
AUACGGAGGGUGCAAGCGUUGCUCGGAAUCACUGGGCGUAAAGCGCUCGCAGGCGGCCUGUCAAGUCAGGUGUGAAAUCCCAGGGCUCAACCCUGGAACUGCACUUGAAACUGGCAAGCUAGAGUACGAGAGAGGGGAGCGGAAUUCCUGGUGUAGAGGUGAAAUUCGUAGAUAUCAGGAGGAACACCCGUGGCGAAAGCGGCUCCCUGGCUCGAUACUGACGCUCAUGAGCGAAAGCGUGGGUAGCAAACAGGAUUAGAUACCCUGGUAGUCCACGCCGUAAACGAUGAGUGCUCGCUAACGGAUUGAUACCAGUUCGUCGGCAAAGUUAACGCAUUAAGCACUCCGCCUGGGAAGUACGGCCGCAAGGCUAAA